CUAGAAAGUUUUCAGGGGAAAAGAGGGCGUUUGACGUGUGGGUGGGUGUGCGGAAAGCGCCAGCACGAGCAGCGGGAGCGGCGAACGCCGGGGGCUGGGCUGCAGAAGAAUGUAAAUUACAUUUGGAAAGAUCAGGCUCGAAGGCUCUCAUUUACCCUCACCAGAUACUUAGAAUAAGAUUUCGGUGCGAUAGUAAUUUUGCCAAUGGAGGCCGACUCCCUAAAACAUCACCCUGCCUCCAAAAUUGUCUGCCUGCAUUCACCCAUGGCCCUCCCUGCAGCUACAGUGGUCUUUUAAAAAUGACCAUGUGGGACUUUCCUGGUGGUCCAGUGGCUAAGAAUCUGACCGCCAAUGCAGGAGACAUGUGUUCGAUCCCUGGUCCGGGAAGAUACCACGUGCUGCAGAGCGACUAAGCCCAUGCACUGCAACUGUUGAAGCCUGCUCGCCUACAGCCUGUGCUCUGCAAUGAAGAGUAGCUCCUGCUCACAGCUAGAGAAAGCCUAUGCACAGCAGGAAAGACCCAGCGUGGGCAAAAAUAAAUAAGUACCUUUUAAAAAUGUCCAUCUGAUAAUAUCAUUCCCCUGCUUCAAACCUUAACUGUAUGAUGAAGGCACAUUGAACAAGUGUGGAAUGAUGCAUAUAAAACGCCUGGCACAAGGCUUCUGCUCACUCUUUGGUUCUCCCCACAUCUCUCUUUCCCUGUCUUGUUUCUGUCAUUUUCCUCUCUGGCUCUGGAAAAACCAUCUGCCUCUCACUUCCUUCUUCCUCUUAUUACUUCUUAGUCUCUUAUCAUCUGAAUUUUCUUUUUUCUUUCUUGCUUUCCUCUUUCCUUUUCUCUCUCUCAUGCUUUAGUUUAUUACAAUAUAGAAUUUAAACAGGCUUAAAUUUUAGUGCUGUAGUGAGUUCCCUGGUGACCUAGUGGUUAGGAUUCUGGUCGUGAUUCUGGACUUUCACUACCGUGGCUUGGGAUCAGUCCCUGGUCAGAGAACUGAGAUCCCAUCACGCAAGCGUCACAGCACAACUGACAAAAACAAACAAAAAAAUGUGUGCUGUAGUUAUGUACUUCAAGUUCUUCAUUUUCUUUGUUUAUUUGCUACUCGGCAUGCGAGAUCUUGGGCUUCCCGGGUGGCACUAGUGGUAAAGAACCCGCCUGCCAGUGCAGGAGACAUAAGAGACACAGGUUCAAUCCCUGGGUCAGGAAGGUCCCUUGGAGGAGGGCAUGGCAACCCACUCCUAUAUUCCUCCCUGGAGAAUCCCAUGGACAGAGGAGCCUGGCAGGGUACAGUCCAUAGGGUCACAAAAAGCUGGACAUGACUGAAGUGACUUAGCACAAACAUACUCAUGUGAGGUCUUAGUUCCCUGACCAGGCAAUGAACCUACGCCCCUGCUCUGGAAGUAGAGUUUUAACCACUAGACCAUCAAGGAAGUCCCAAGUUCUUCAUUUUAAAACUUAGAAGAGAUUGACCUUGUAUCAGGAUUAAAUUAAUACGCUUUUUAUUUCAGCAUGGCCUUCAGUUAACUCUUCUUAUAGAGAACUUCUGUAGAAGCAAACGUAUUCUCUCCUGGGAGGAAAGCAAUCCCCUUUCAUGUUUUGUAGAGGAGAAAAUGAUGCAGCUAUAUACACAGUAUCCUCCUCUAGUGAUUUGAAACAAGUCAGAAGGAGAACCCAGGUACCUGCCCAUAGCUGUGCCUUUCUUAGGUAGAUUGCUGCUGCCUUCUGGCAGUAGGGCAGUGAGGCAAGUUAAUUAUUCAGUGUCAGAGGAGGUAAAUAAAUAAAUGAAUUACCUAAUUAAAUAAACCUUCGGGGUGCUAAAAGCUGGCAGUUUCCUCAACCACACACUUUUUUUUGAGAACUAGUCCUCUUGUAUGAAGGAACAGCCAACCCAGGCAUAUGGGCUCUUCCCUUUUACCUCUGAGAAAGUGGAUUUAUGACCGUCUGUGUACUCAUCUCUCUGUUUAUGUCUCUGACAUAGACCACUCUGCCAGUUGCCAGCACUCUUUCUACCUCCACUGAGAACAUGGAGAGAUUCUGCCACUACAGAAGGAGGAAAGAAAGUUAUAAUUCAAGAAGGACUUCCUGGGCUUCCCUGGUGGUCCAGUGGUUAAGAAGUUGCCUAGCAAUGCAGGGGACAAGGGCUCGAUCGCUGGUCCGGGAGGACCCCACACGACGCAACUACUAAAGCCCACCCGCCCUAGAGCCUGUGCUCCACAAUGAGAAGCCACAGCAACGAGAAGUUCACACACCACAGCUGGAGAGUAGCCCUCACUCGCCACAACUAGUGAAACCCACAUGGAGCAACAAAAACUCAGAGCAGGCAUAAAUAAACAGAUAUUAAAAAGUAAAAAAAAGAAAGGACUUCCUGCUGUCAAGGCAUGACAGACACCACCACAAAACAAGUGAGGGAGAAUCUUAGCUGAGAAAAGAUGUUUCUGUUAUAGAAAAUACCCCACCUCACCCCCUCCCCCAUCCCAAGCCUCGCUUGAGGGAGGCUCUACUCUCGGAAGGGCUUGGGCGGUCGGAGUCAGAAUCAGCAAGCUUUUGUUGAAUAGACAGAUACUGCAUACAAGGCAGCUCCAUGUACUUCUUUCUACUACACCCUUUUAAUAUUUGAACUUAAGAGAAACCCUCCAACUUUUUCCUAAGUGGAAUUUUAUUUUGAAAUGAGAUCCUGCAGCGUGAGGACCAACUACAGAAACACUUUAGUGUUAAGGGACCUCCACAGCCUGAAACAUUUUUCCUAACUUGGACCACUGUUCCAUGCGCAUCCAGAGGCUAUACUACAUCCUACAUUAACAGCUUGUUCUUAACCUCCCACUCCAAAGAUUUACUGAGAAUUUCUUUCUGAGCAGAGCUACUCUCGUAAAAGAAAUAGUAGAAGCAUGUUGUGUUAGGAUAAUUGCUAUAAUAGAAAGAUCCAAGUAAAGAACAUAGCUCACAUACAGUAGUUUAUUUCUUGCUUCUAGGGUUGUAUAACUUUUGAACUGUGGUGUUGGAGACAACUCUUGAGAGUCCCUUGGACUCCAAGGAGAUCAAAUCAGUCAAUCCUUAAGGAAAUCAGUCCUGAAUAUUCAUUGGAAGGUCUGAUGCUGAAGCUGAAACUCCAAUACUUUGGCCACCUGAUGCGAAGAACUGGCUCAUUGGAAAAGACCCUGAUGCUAGGAGAUAUUGAAGGCAGGAGAAGGAGACAACAGAGGAUGAGAUGGUUGGAUGGCAUCACCGACUUGAUGGACAUGACUUUGAGCAAGCUCUGGGAGUUGGUGAUGGACAGGGAAGCCUGGCAUGCUGCAGUCCAUGGGGUCUCGGUCAGACACGACUGAGCGACUGAACUGAGGGUUGCAGAGCAGCACUCCUCCAUGUAGCCAUUUAGGAACCCAGGUUAAUGAAAGCCUGCAAAAGGCAUGGAGGAAACAGGAGGUUUUUGUGAAUCUAGAAGUAGGGCUGUUGUCAUUUUUUGUGCUAAGUCAUGUCUGACUUGGUGACCCCAUGGACUGUAGCCCACCAGGCUCUUCUUGUCCACAGGAUUUCCGAGGCAAGAAUACUGGAGUGGGUUGCCAAAGAAAAUUUUCAUAUAUAGAGAGGACUGGGCCCCCAGGAUGAGGGUGAGCAUGUGGAGCGUAUCCAUCCUACUUUCAUCAGUCUGGAGACCGCUGACGGCCAUUGGCAUUAGUUACCAUCCAGAAGGAUUUGACUGCUAAGGCCUGAAGGAAAAAUGUUGUGUUUAUUGACUGUGUUCAUCUCUCACACUCAAACUUUUCUUUCCAUUCUCCCAACUAUGUCUUAAUUCAUCAUUUCCUUUUUUAAAAAAAAAAAAAUGCAUGUAUUUGGGGGCACUUGGUCUCAGCCACCGCUCACAGGAUCUCUGAUCUUUGUUGUAGCAAUUGGGAUCUUCAGCUGCAGCACGCUCAAUCUUUUAGUUGUGGCAUGCAAACUCUUAAUUGCGACAUGUGGAAUCUAGUUCUUGACCAGGAAUUGAACCCAGGCUCCCUGCAUUAAGAGCUUGGAGUCUUAACCACUGGACCACCAGAGAAGUCCCCAGUUCAUCAUUUCUUAAACUAUGUAAAUAGCCUCCUAACAGAGGCCCCUACCUCUGUCCUCUCGCACCCUCAACCCCAUCUAACAUGUGACUCACCGUGUUAUGCUUCAAUGGUUCCUCGUCACUCACAGGCUUGAGUCAACUUUCGUGAUAAAAAAACUGAAUUCACAUUCCAGUCCCUUCCUACCUCUUAGACCUCAUCUCCUGGCAUCGCACCCUGGGCAUUCUGUGUCCAGCUUUGUCUUCCCCGCAUACUCUAUGUACUGACAUGCCUCCUUGCCUGGGAUGUGCCAUCCUUCCUGGGCCCACUCCCACCUGUCCAUCAGUUUUCUCUUUAAUGUCACUCCAUUGGUGAAACCUUUCUUGAUUCUCCUCGGCUUGGUGAUGCACCCCUUCUUCAAGAGAAUCAUAAUUGAUUGGUAAAGAAUAGUUAUCUCUCUAAACAAUGUAUUUUUCUCCUUUAGACUCUAAGCUAAAUGAGGCCCUAGAACAUGUGUUUUCAUUGUGUAUCUCAAGUGCUUCAUAUGGUUUCUGAUGAAGAGCUGGUAUUCAGUGAAGAUUCGUCAAGUGAAUGAAUGAAUGGUUUUUAACCCUUGGAUCAUUUAAGGAUGAAGAUGCUCUUUCUUGUCUGUCACCCACCUAAGAAUAAAGGGUUUGGAACUUCCCUGAUGAUUCAGUGAGUAAGACUUCGUGCUCUCAAUGCAGGGGACUCUGGUUCAGUCCCUGGUCAGGGACAUCCCAUAUGCCACAGGUGAAAAUCACACAUGCCACAACAAAGACCUGGCACAGCCAAAAGAAGAAGAAGAAAAAAAAAAAGAAUAAAGGGUUUGAAGAAGACAGGACAGGAAGUUGACACAAAAGCAGAAGAAAUGAAAGUUGGAUCUCAGAAGACUGUUGAAUGAGAGGUCUCUGACAUGUCAGUGUGUAGGGUUGGAUGGGGCAUCUUAAUGCUGUGAGAGAGGAGACUGGUCGUCAGUACCCAAUCUUUCAUGGCUCCUUACUGACAGAGAGCCCUUAUAUUAUUCGAAGUGUCAAUGCUGCUGCUAAGUCACUUCAGUCAUGUCUGACUCUGUGUGACCCCAUAGACGUCAGCCCACCAGGCUCCCCCACCCCUGGGAUUCUCCAGGCAAGAACACUGGAGUGGGUUGCCAUUUCCUAGCUUAUUGGAGGGGGUUUCUUAGAACAACCUUUAAAGAUGGUUGACUUCACUGGGAGGUCUCCCCUUUGCCUCAGCCUCAUUGCUGCUGCUUAGAAUGGAUGUGGUAUCUGCAGCUGCAAAUCUUGUUACCAGGAAACAACCCUGAGGAUGGAAGCCAUGGGCUAAGGAGAGCGGAAUAGAGAUGUAGAAGGAGCCUGAGUCCCUAAUAGGAUGGAGUCACCCUACCAGGCCUGCUGUGCCUAUUUUGAACUUCCCCAUAAGAGAGAACUAAAGUUUCAAUUUGUUUAAAUCACUCUUACUCACAUUUCCUGUUUUAUGUGAAAGUGAAGUGAAAGUGUUACUCGCUCAGUUGUGUCUGACUCUUUGUGACCCUAUGGAUUGUAGCCUGCCAGGCUCCUCUGUCCACAGAUUUUCCAGGCAAGAAUACUGGAGUGGGUUGCCAUUCCCUUCUCCAGGGGAUCUUCCCCACCCAGGGAUCAAACCUGAGUCUCCUGCAUUGCAGGCAGAUUCUUUAACAUCUGAGCCACCAGGGAAGCCCAAACUAAUCCCAGCUGAUACAGAGGAGAUAUUUACAGAGUCCUCAUACAUCAGAUGGAGAAGGCAAUGGCAACCCACUCCAGUACUCUUGCCUGGAAAAUCCCAUGGAUGGAGGAGCCUGGUGGGCUGCAGUCCAUGGGGUCGCGACUGAGCGACUUUGGUUUCACUUUUCACUUUCACACAUUGGAGAAGGAAAAGGCAACCCACUCCAGUGUUCUUGCCUGGAGAAUCCCAGGGAUGGUGGAGCCUGGUGGGCUGCCGUCUACGGGGUUGCACAGAGUCGGACACGACUGAAGUGACGCAGCAGCAGCAGCAGCAUACAUCAGAUAUUUCAUGCAUGUUACCUCUUCAUAGCUUCAUGAUAGUGCUAUAAAGGUUGGUCAGCCUGCUCCUUGUCUAGCUGUAUGUUAUUGGGAAAGUUACUUCACCUCUCUGCGCCUCUGUUUCCUCAUCUGUAAGAUGAAGACAACACAAUAAUAGCACCUCCUCAUAGAGUUAUGAAGAUCGGACAGUUCCUGUAUGUAAAACGCUUAGAAUUGUGCUUGGCGUGUAGUCAGUGCCUACUCUUGCAUGCAUGCUCAAUCACAUCCGACUCUGUGACCCUAUGGACUGUAGCCCACCAGGCUUCUCUGUCCAUGGGAUUUUCCAGGUAAGAAUACUGAAUUGGGUUGCCAUUUCCUUCUCCAGGGGAACUUCCUGACCCAGGGAUAAAACCUGCGUCUCCUGUGUUGGCAGGCGUCUUUAUCACUGAGCCACCAGGGAAGGUGGUGCCUACUCUUAGCAAUUGCCAUAUUAGCAAUAACAUAAUCACAUUCAGAUGCCUGACUAUAGCUCAGAAAACUUCAGUAACUUGUCUAAGGUGACACAGUAAGUGGUAGAGCCAAGUUGCAAACACAGGCCUACAUGAAUCUUAAAACUAUGCAUUUCUCCAUGCACUUUGGAAGGACCCAAUGUGGGUAGGCUGCAGGGUGGAGGGCAGGAGAUGGUCAUGAUCAUGGCAUCCAGUCCCAUCACUUCUGGCAAAUAGAUGGGGAAAAGUGGAAGCAGUGACAGAGUUUAUUUUCUUGGGCUCCAAAAUCACUGCAAACAGUGACUGCAACCAUGAAAUUAAAAGAUGCUUGCUCCUUGGAACGAAAACUAUGACAAACAUAGACAGUGUAUUAAAAAGCAAAGAUAUCAUUUUGCCGACAAAAGUCCAUAUAGUCAUGGCUUUUCCAGUAGUCAUGUAUGGCUGUAAAAGUUGGACUAUAAAGAAAGGCUGAGCACUGAACUGAUGACUUCGAAUUGUGGUGCUGGAGAAGACUCUUGAGAAUCCCUUGGAUAGCAAGGAGAUCAAACCAGUCAAUCCUAAAGGAAAUCAACCCUGAAUAUUCACUGGAAGGACUAUGCUGAAGCUGAAGCUCCAAUACUUUGGCCACAUGAUGCAAAGAGCCCACUCAUUGGAAAAGACUCUGAUGCUGGGAAAGAUUGAAGGCAAAAGGAGAAGAGGGCAGCAAAAGAUGAGAUGGUUAGUACCACCACCUCAAUGGACAUGAAUCUGAGCAAACUCCAGGAGAUAGUGAAGGACAGGGAAGCUUGUGUACUGUAGUUGCAGAAUCAAGACACAAUUUAGCAACUGAACAAUAAUACCACCUGGGCUUCCUAGGUGGUGCUAGUGGUAAAGAAUCCUCUUGCAAUGCAGUUGGCCAGGUUGGAUCCCUAGGUCAGGAAGAUCCCCUGGAGGAAGAAAUUCAACCCACUCCAGUAUUCUUGCCUGAAAAAUUCCAGAAACAGUGGAGCCUGGCGGGCUACAGUCCAGGUGGCCACGAGGAACACACACGCAUAAUACCACCUACUUUAUGAGAUCAUCGUGAAGAUUAAAUGAGGGCACAGCUCAGCCUUCUUGCACCUGGAAGCACGUAAGCACUACCGUUGGGGGCCACUGAAAACAGUGAAAUCACCCGCAAAAACAAACCUGAAAAACAGCACUAAGUAGACCGUGAAUGGGACACUUGGCAGGAUGAGAGCUGAAACAAGAGGCGGAGUGUUGCUGCUGGGCCUCAGCUGGGAACGUAACUGUCCCAUGACUCAGAUUGGUUGUUGCUCUGGAUUUGUCUGGGAUUGACCAUGAAAACCUUAUGAGUACUGAUUGGGGAAUUACAGAUAAAUUUUAGUAAGUAGGCAAAUUGACAAAUACAGAACUUGCAAAUCAUGAGGAUGAACCAAAUGUAGAGAGAGGACCAGUUUCUCAACUGUGUGACUUGUCCAGUCACAGAUUGCAUUCAGAAGGGCCUUGAGCUUGGUUUAAUGCUCUGCUGUUGUUACUGUCCUGAAAUUCCUAACUUAAAAAAAAAAUUAUAGUUGAUUUAUAAUAUUGUGUUAGUUUCAAAUGUACAGCAAACUGAUUGGGUUAUAUAUAUACUAUACAUAAUUUUAUAUAAAAUAAAAUUAAUAAAAUGUUUAUUUUAUAUAAAAAUACAGAUUAUUUUCCAUUAUAGGUUAUUAUUAGAUAUAAAAUAUAGUUCCCUGUGCUAUACAGUAAACCCUUGUUGCUUGUUUUUAUCUAUUUUAUAUAUAGUAAUGUGUAUCUGUUAAUCCCAUACUCCUAAUUUAUCCCUUCCCCCCACCUUGAAAUUCUUAACUUUUAAACAAGAGGCCUCAUGUCAUUUUCACUUUGCUGGUCUUGUAGCUGGUCUUGUCGCUGGUCGUGUCUUUAUGUUUGUGUAUGCAUAUUUAAUUGCAUAAAUGAGAUCAUAUUAUAAAUACCCUUCCUUUUUUCCUUCUUAUAGUUUCCUUUUUUAAAAAUUCAAUCUUUGGUGGUAUUUUUAUAUAGACAUAUAUAAAUCUACUUUCAUCCUUUUAACGUCUGUGGUAUAGAUGUAUCAUGAUUUAUUUUUCAAGUCUCCAAUUACUCUGGACAAUACUUUGUUUAUGAAUUUUUACUUUUAGGAAUUAUGCCAAAAGAACUACCCUUGUUACACACACACACACACGCUUUGGCAUAUCAUCCAAUUAUAUUCAUACACUACACUAGCAGUAGAAUUGCUGCUACAUUGAAGUAUAUUUGUAUUUCAAAUAAUGAUCAUUAUUGCCUUGUUGCUCUCUAAAAAGUUUGUACCAGUUCUCACUCAUACCAAGAAAAUUUGAGAAUUUAUGUUCUUAAAUAUAGCUUGCCAACUUCACAAAUUUCCAAACUUAAAAAAAGUUGUCAAUCUGGGCUUUCCUGGUGGCUCAGUGGUAAAGAAUGGAAGAUCCCCUGGAGAAGGAAAUGGCAACCCACUCCAGUAUUCUUGCCUGGGAAAUCCCAUGGACAGAGAAGCCUGUUGGGUUACAGUCCAUGGAGUCGCAAAAGAGUUGGAUACAACUUAUUGACCAAACAACAACAAUAUCAUUCUAAAAAAAAAAUAGUGGAAAAAAUAUUUGCCAAUCUGAUCAGCUGAAGAGGUAUUUUGAGCUUCCCUGGUGGCUCAGUGGUAAAGAAUCUGCCUGCAAUGCAGGAGACCUGGGUUCAAUCCCUGGGUUGAGAAGAUCUCCUGGAGAAGGAAAUGGCAACCCACUCCAGUAUUCUUGCCUGGAGAAUUCCAUGAACAGAGGAGCCUGGCUGGCUACAGUCCGUGGGGUUGCAAAGAGACAUGACCAAGCAGCUAACAUACUAAAGAGGUGUUUUGUAGUUAUUUUAAUUUGCAUGUAUUUAAUCAUGUGUGAAGCUGAACAUUUUUUCUCAUGUUUAUUUAUUAACCAUUUUUUCUCUGUUUUUGCAUCUCCUGUUGCUACCCUUUGUUCAUUUUCCUAUUCGGUUGUCUUUGUACUUUAUAUAAAUUAAAGAAAUUAACCCUUUGCUUGUUAUAUGAAUUAUAAAUAAUCCUGACUUAUGAGUCUUUUGCUUUUAUUUGCAGCAUUGUUUUUUCCAAAACAGAAAUGAAGAUUUUUGUGUUAUACACUGAAACUUCUAGAUGAGAGAUAUUUUAAAUUUCAAACAGCGAAUUCCGUGGUGGUCCACUGAUUAGGACUCUGUGCUUUCACUGCUGGGGUCUGGAGGGAGCUAAGAUCCUGCAAGCUGAGUGGUGUAACCAAAAACAAACCUUUCUUAAUCAAUAUUACUUGAUGAUAGCUCAGAUGUAAAGGGCCUGGGAGAGGAAGACAUCAAAGACAACAGCAGUGUUCCUAGGUUUGGGGAAUAAUAAUAGUGUCUUUACCAGGUUUCUCCGACAAGGAUUCUCUCAGUGAUAGGUCCUUCACCAUGAGCUUAGGGAGCUGAACUUUCAAAAUCAAGAGUUCAUUAGAGUUUACUGCUUUUAUUUUUUAAUAAAUGAUUUAGGAUUAAUUUUAGAUUUACAGAAAAGUUGCAAAGAUAGUAAGAGAUGGUUCUCAGAUACCUUAUGCCCAAUUUUUCCUAUUAUUAACGUAUUACAUUAACAUGGCGUAUUUAUAGCAAUUAAUGAGCCAAUAUUGACAUAUUGCUAUUGACAAAGUCCGUACUCUCUUCAGAUUUCCUUGGUUUUUAGUUUCAUAUCUUUUUUCUAUUCCAGGAUAAUGUCUUUUUUAGCUUCUUAUUGGCUGUGACAAUUGAGUUUCCUGAUUUUUGUCACUGUCAUUCCACAUCAAUUCACUAAUGGGAGCAAAAUCCUAUCUGAGCUAGCCGUCCCAGGUUAGAGGAUCAGCAGAUAACCGACUCUAGAUUCCUAUCUUGCCUCUCUUCCUGCUUUAAAUCCCCCUUUUCUGAGGCUGUGAGCCACCCUCCACUUCCUCUCCAUUCACUCCCGUACCCUGCACAUUCCUUCUUUGUCCUCUGACUUCAACCUAGUAUUGGUUGUCUUCAUUUGAAAUCAAAGACUGUUUUCUAGAUUCCUUUGCUAAGAUUAGGAUUAACCCCCACAUCUUCCCAUGAAUUUGCUUUAUUUAUUUAUAUAAUGGUUUGUUUAUCCCCUGAAUCAGGGUAGCUGGCUAGUUUUCUUAGCAGCUAGUCUCUAGUACAGUUCUAAGCCUGGAGUUGCUCCUGAUACUGGAGAGAAGGAGGACUAUAAUUAGCAGAGGCAGGGAAGUUGGGAAGGAGAACUGUUUACUAAGGAAUUUAGUGCACCUGGUUUGUAUGUGUCCUAAGCAAAGGUGAGAUGCACAAGUGCAGAAAUCCUGGAGCAAGUUAGAAGUACAGAUUUCGUACGCUGAUGAGAGGUCAGUGUUUAAAACAGAGCUUGGAGAGAUGUCUACUUUUGGAGGUGUCAGUAGGAAGCAUGAGAGUGAGAGAGAAGAGUAGGGGGAGAGGAAAAAACCUUGUCCACAGUCAGGGGACGGGGAAGACACUCCCACGUAGGAGGCAGGGGAGGAGCUGGAGUAGUAGAUCAUGGACAGAGCAUUGGUGUAGGAACCCAAGGAGAAAGGAAUAUGGAACACCAGGAAGCCAUUCAGUGUAGGGAGGACUAAGAAAAGCCUUCAGUUUCUGAACUCACCUGCAGAGGAGGGACGAGAGGACUUGGAACCCUCGCAUAAAAUAAAGUGCUUGACUCAGACAUAGUAAACAGAAAGGAAAGAAAUAAGACAGCUUCAAUCUUCAAAAGAAUGGGGCUAAAUUCCUCCUAUACAUCUUCAGGUCAUAAGGAAGGUAUCACAGGGAAGAAUUAUUGAAGAUGAUAGAGAAGAAAGGGAGGCUAGUGGAAAUAAGAUUCUAGCUUUUAGUUGUCCUACUUCACUUAGGAUGUCAACUCAUGAAGGCAGGGGUUUCUGUCUGUUUUGACUUCUUUAAUAUUCCAGGAGCCUAAAACAGUGUCUGGUACCUGGUGGGUUUUCAAUAAAUAUUGCUGAAUGGUGGAAAGGAACAGAAAUUAUUAAGUCUAGACACUAAGAGGAGAGGCUGGUUUUAGAAUGAACGAUAAAUAAAUAUAUCUUCGUCUAAGACCAUGAGGAAAACUGAGGAGCCAGAGGGGAAGAAGGAACUUAUACCCGAGGCCCUAAACUGAAUAAUAAGGUACCUGAUGAUGAUGGACUGCAGGAAAGCAGAUCUGGCAGGGAACUGAGGGCAACAAUCCCUUUCUGCUCCCAUGCAGGGAAGCCAAGAACUGGCUUGGGACACCAGCUGGGCACUCUUCCCAGCCCUUGCAUUCCAGCCGAAUACCCUACACAAUGAAGAAAGGGGACUGACAGUGCAGUGACAUGAUUUAGGUUAAUGAACUACUGAUCGUCUGCCAAGUGGGUGGGAAGUUGUUUUUGUCUGCUUGCUUCUAUGGAAAAAAAUUGUUAUGAAUGAUUCAUCUUGUCUCAUUACUCAAGAGCACAAAUUGAUAACAAGAGUUUAAAACCUAGGGAGAACAUAGCUACCUCCACCCUAUCCCACAGCCCAGUUUUUGGUGGAUGGGUACGUUCACCCUCUCACUUUCUUGAUUAUGAGGGUUUCACAGACGUGUGUGUGUGUAUGUAUAUAUACAUGUAUAUGUAUAUAUAUAGUCAAAUUGUAUAUUUAUAUGUGUGCAGUUCACUGUGUGUCAAUUAUACCUCAAUCAAGCUGUUUAGAAAAAGGAAAACAGAAUCUUACAUGUAAAAUUAUUUCAAUCACAGAGUUUGGAUUAUAUAUAAUAUAUAUACACACAUAUAUACACAGGGCUUCCCUGGUGGCUCAGAUGGUAAAGAAUCUGCCUGCAGUGUAGGAGACCCAGGUUUGAUCCCUGGGUCAGGAAGAUCCCCUGGAGAAGAGAAUGGCAACCCACUCCCGUAUUCUUGCCUGGAGAAUCCCACGGACCAAGGAGCCUGGCAGGCUACAAUUCAUAGAGUCGCAAAGAGUCAGACACGACUGAGCAACUAACACACACACACACACACACACACACAUAUAUACAUACAUAUAUAUAUAUUUACUUGCAUAUAUAAAUUCAUCUAAUUUAUCUUUACAAUCCAAGAGAAAGUCAUUUUGAAAUAAAUUAUUUGAGGGGAAAAUAAAGGUCAAUCUAGGGAGACAAGAUACAAAGAGAACCACUAAGAUUUCCAGCCACAUCCCGGGAUAAACUAAGGAAUUCCUUCUCUCAGGGGGAAAACUGAAGAGGAGAAAGAAAGUUUUUGGUUAGCUGGUGGUGAGAGUGUUGUGUUCUUUUUGUAAACUUUUUGUAAUUCUUCUUGAGGUCAUGCUGUCCUUGUAAUCUUCAACCUAUAGAAGACCCUCUCUUCCACAGCAUGGAGAGAAAGAUGGCUUUUUCCUAGGAAGGCCUGUUGCUCUGCCAUUCUGCUGCUGCCAAGGGUCACAUUUCUUCAUCCUCCUGAUACACUACAGAACUCGAGAGACACCGGUACAACUCACCACAUAGAUGGAUCUGGGGCCUGAGCGGUGAACCAAAUCCUGGCUGAGGCCGGUUUACUUUAAACUUUUCUGAAGAGGUUUUGUAAAUCAUUUCCAAAGGAAUUAAAUUUAAUCGAGUAAGGACUGAAAUUACUCCCACUGUGGUCUCUGCCAUCACCUGGCAGUCUUAGGGGUUUUAUGCCAGACAAUAUGCAUGAAACAGUGCUGGGUGCUGUUCUUAACCCUAAAGAGGCAGGGUUGGUUCUUGAUCUCAACUUGAAAUUCAGAAAGCCUAAAGAAUAAAAAUCCCUGGGGUGGGGAUAACAAAUCAAUAUUUACUUUGUGAGUUGGAACUGGUCUGCUUAAUAAAGCUCGUUCAUAAGUGAGAAGGGUAAAUAUCAACUCACUUCUUGAACUAACAGGCCCCCCAAUUCACCAAAAAUCUCCAAAGGACUAAAGGGAUAACAGCCAAGUGUGCUAGUAAUUGCUUUCUAGUCCUUCAGGCUGUGCCUCCAAAGCCAGUUCCUGCUUUUGGUCAGAUCACUCCCCAAACUUGUCAGCAUCAUGAUGCCCUUUAAAAAUUGUCUUCAUAGCACUUAACAGUGUUUCAUCAAUUAAUUUAUCUGUUUAUUUUCUGUCUCUUCUACACUGGAAGAGAAUCUCCAUGGAAGCAGGGAUCUUACCUCCUGUUUUCGACACUGUAUUGCUACAAUAAUGUAGUAUAAUGGCUUCCCCAAAAUGGGCUUCCCUUGUGGCUCAGUGGUAAAAAACCUGCCUGCCAACGCAGGAGAUGCAGGUUUGAUCCCUGGUUGGGAAUGUUAGGUUGUUAGAAUAGGAAAAAGGAGUCCAAAAUGGGGGUGGCUAAAAGACAAAAAGAGGAAAAAGUCCUUGAAAAGGGAGCAAAGGAAAAAUUUAUGGACCCAGAAUGGGAAUCUCAGGUGAAAUAAACACUCCCCCUUCCUGAUCAUUGAUAGGUGUUAUGCUAGUCUUAAUUUGCAAAGGGCAGGCUCAGGGGGAGGAGACAAAAGGUAUAAAACGAGGGAGCCAAGACAGGCUGGAGCCUUUCCUUCCAGGGUUGGCCUGCCCUCAUGCCUCCGGGGUGUAUUAUCCUUUGUUUACCAAAUAAAACUCUGAGCUGUAACCCUGGUCCUUCGUUUCAAAUCUUUGUUGUGGCAAGACUGAACAGAGGAAAUUAUGCAGUCUCCCUACAGGAAGAUCCCCUAGAAAAGGAAAUGGCAACCCACUCCAGUAUUCUUGCCUGGAAAAUCCCAUGGACAGAGGAACCUGGUGGGCUACAGUCCAUGGGGUCGAAAAGAGUCAACCAUGACUGAGUGCGACACGCACACACACACACACACACACACACACACACACACACACGAAAGUCCCAGGGGGAGUGGUGGGCAGGGUUCUUUCCUUGCCUGUCUUGUUCAAUACUGUAUAUCUGCAGUCCAAGGGUCACAAAAGAGUUUGAUGCAAACUUAGUGACUAAACAACAAACAAAAGAUGGCCACGUCCUAAUUCUAGGAACUCCUGAGUAUGCUACCUCAUGUCAUUAAAGGGACUUUGCAGAUUUAAGGAUGGAGAUAUAAAAGUAGGGAGAAUAUCCUGCAUUUUCCAAGUGGGCCCAAUGUAAUCACGAGGGUCUUUAUAAGAGGGAAAGAGGAUCAGUGUCAGAGGACAUAUGGCAACAGAAGUAGCUGUCAGAAAGUGGGAGAGGGACUUGCAGGUCCUGUGCUGCUGGCUUUGAAGAUGGAGGAAGGGGCCACGAGCUAAAGAAUGUAGACAGCUCCUAGAUGCUGGAAAAGACAGGGAAAUAGAUUCCCUACUAGCCUUUAGAAGGAAUACAGCCCUGUGACAACAUGAUUUUAGGAUUUCUAAUCUCUAGAACUGUAAGAUGAUAAAUUUGUAUUGUUUUAAGCUGUUAAAUCAGAGAAGACAAUGGCAACCCACUCCAGUACUCUUGCCUGGAAAAUCCCAUGGACGGAGGAGCCUGGUGGGCUGCAGUCCAUGGGGUCACUAAGAGUUGGGCUCGACUGAGCGACUUCACUUUCACUUCUCACUUUCCAGCAUUGGAGAAGGAAAUGGCAACCCACUCCAGUGUUCUUGCCUGGAUAAUCUUAGGGACAGAGGAGCCUGGUGGGCUGCCAUCUAUGGGGUCACACAGAGUCGGACACGACUGAAGCGACUUAGCAGCAGCAGCAAGCUGUUAAAUUUGUGCUAAUCUGUUACAGCACCCAUGGAAAACUAACACAAAUGAUACCUGAUGCAUAACAGACUUUUAAUAAACAUUUAUCGGUUGACCAACUUCCUUAUAUAUGAGGCCCCAGCGAGCAAUAGAAACAACACUUUGCAAACUUCAUGGUGGUGUAUAAUAGCCAAGUGUGUUCAUAAUCCUAAAUUCAUUUUAUUUUCACAAUUAUUAUUCUUAUAUUACAAACAGGGAAAUUAAAACUCAGUUGUCCAAGUUCCCAUAGGUUUUAAGAGGCAGAAAGUAUAUUCAGAACCAAUAUUCUUCUUUUUUUUUUUUCAAUAUUCUUCUUAUUUUCUCCUUAUUUUUGUCUGAUCUAUAAACAAUAUUAACAAUAAAGGACAGGUUUUAAAAAAUUCAUUUGCAAUCCU
ensembl:lncRNA